UACGUAGGGUGCGAGCGUUGUCCGGAAUUAUUGGGCGUAAAGAGCUCGUAGGCGGUCUGUCGCGUCGAUCGUGAAAACUUGGGGCUUAACCCUGAGCUUGCGGUCGAUACGGGCAGACUAGAGUUCGGUAGGGGAGACUGGAAUUCCUGGUGUAGCGGUGAAAUGCGCAGAUAUCAGGAGGAACACCGAUGGCGAAGGCAGGUCUCUGGGCCACUACUGACGCUGAGAAGCGAAAGCAUGGGGAGCGAACAGG
rnacentral:rRNA from 1 species